rnacentral:rRNA from 1 species
UACGUAGGGACCAAGCGUUGUCCGGAAUUACUGGGCGUAAAGCGCGCGCAGGCGGCCCCGACACAUCGGCGGUGAAAGCCCCCCCGCUUAACGGGGGGAGGGUCCGUCGUGAUGGUCGGGCUGGAGGCAGGGAGAGGGCGGUGGAAUUCCGGGUGUAGUGGUGAAAUGCGUAGAGAUCCGGAGGAACACCAGUGGCGAAGGCGGCCGCCUGGACCUGACCUGACGCUGAGGCGCGAAGGCGCGGGGGAGCGAACGGGG